GUUAGAGGAGGCCUCAGGCCUAAGGUGGUGCAGGGGGCCCCCUAGGGGCUGGGCAGUGCCAAGGCAUAAAAGCCUUCCCUGGUCCCUGGUGGCAUUUGAAGGUGCCCAGGUGAGAGGGGCUUGGCACCUCCUCACCCUGGGAGGGAGAAGAAACCAGGGAACAGGUAGGAGUGGGAGACAGGUGAGGCUUUGGAAAUCUAUUGAGGCUCUGGAGAGAUUUGUGUAGAGAGGAAAAUGUGGUUCUCCCCCAGGGUCUCCUCCUGGGUUUUUACCCUCUAAGCAACCUGUGGGCAUGCUGGGUUAUUCCUAAGGACUAGAAGAGCUUGGAUGGGGGAGGGUGGUUGGUGCCCUUCGGUCCUCGGCACCCCCCUCCGUCUCCAACACCAGCUCACCCUGGUAUUUGUCAUGUCAGCAGGAGAAGGUCACCAUGUUGUUUUUCUCGCCCCUAGUCCUUCCUUCCUGCCCCAGUCCAAAUUUGUCCUCCUAUUUGACCUUAAUACUUACCAUGGCUUUGGACCAGGGAACUAGGGGGAUAGUGAGAGCAGGGAGAGGGAAGUGUGGGGAAGGUACAGGGGACCUCGACAGUGAAGCAUUCUGGGGUUUUCCUCCUGCAUUUCGAGCUCCCCAGCCCCCAACAUCUGGUUAGUCUUUAACUUCCUCGGGUUCAUAACCAUAGCAGUCCAGGAGUGGUGGGCAUAUUCUGUGCCCGUGGGGACCCCCGGUUGUGUCCUGUUCGACUCAGAAGACUUGGAGAAGCCAGAGGCUGUUGGUGGGAGGGAAGUGAGGAGGGAGGAGGGGCUGGGUGGCUGGGCCUGUGCACCCCAGCCCCUGCCCAUGCCCAUGCCUUGCUCUCUUUCUGUCCUCAGUGGUCCCAGGCUGCACCCAUGGCAGAAGGAGGAGGGCAGAAUCAUCACGAAGUGGUGAAGUUCAUGGAUGUCUAUCAGCGCAGCUACUGCCAUCCAAUCGAGACCCUGGUGGACAUCUUCCAGGAGUACCCUGAUGAGAUCGAGUACAUCUUCAAGCCAUCCUGUGUGCCCCUGAUGCGAUGCGGGGGCUGCUGCAAUGACGAGGGCCUGGAGUGUGUGCCCACUGAGGAGUCCAACAUCACCAUGCAGAUUAUGC
rnacentral:lncRNA from 1 species